rnacentral:rRNA from 1 species
ACGGGAGGCAGCAGUGGGGAAUAUUGCACAAUGGGGGAAACCCUGAUGCAGCGACGCCGCGUGAGUGAUGACGUAUUUCGGUAUGUAAAGCUCUUUAAGCAGGGAAGACAGUGACGGUACCUGCAGAAUAAGCACCGGCUAAAUACGUGCCAGCAGCCGCGGUAAUACGUAUGGUGCAAGCGUUAUCCGGAUUUACUGGGUGUAAAGGGAGCGUAGGUGGCCUGGCAAGCCAGAGGUGAAAACCCGGGGCUCAACCCCGCGGAUUGCCUUUGGAACUGUUGGGCUGGAGUGCAGGAGGGGUAAGCGGAAUUCCCAGUGUAGCGGUGAAAUGCGUAGAUAUUGGGAAGAACACCGGCGGCGAAGGCGGCUUACUGGACUGCUACUGACACUGAGGCUCGAAAGCGUGGGGAGCAAACAGGAUUAGAUACCCUGGUA